UAACUGCGAGUGAAGCGGGAAGAGCUCAAAUUUGUAAUCUGGCGGUCUUCGACCGUCCGAGUUGUAAUCUGUAGAGGUGUCGUCCGCGUCGGCCUGUGUACAAGUCUCCUGGAAUGGAGCGUCAUAGAGGGUGAGAAUCCCGUCCAUGGCACAGACCACCGAUGCUUUGUGAGGCACUCUUGAAGAGUCGCGUUGUUUGGGAAUGCAGCGCAAAAUGGGUGGUAAAUUCCAUCUAAGGCUAAAUACCGGCGAGAGACCGAUAGCGAACAAGUACCGUGAGGGAAAGAUGAAAAGCACUUUGAAAAGAGAGUUAAACAGUACGUGAAAUCGUUGAAAGGGAAACGCUUGAAGUCAGUCGUGUCCCGGGGCAUUCAGCCUUGCUUCGGCUUUGGUGUACUUGCCCUUGGGAUGGGUCAAUGUCAAUUUCAGUCGGCGGACAAGGGUGAGAGGAACGUAGCGUUGUUUCGACGACGUGUUAUAGCCUCUUGUCGGACACGUCGACUGGGAUUGAGGAUGGCAGCACGCCCUUGUGGCCGGGGGGGUUCAUCCCCCACGUUAACGUGCUUAGGAUGUUGGCAUAAUGGCUUUAAACGACCCGUCUUGAAACACGGACCAAGGAGUCUAAYAUGCUUGCAAGUGUUUGGGYGGANAAACCCUUGCGCGCAAUGAAAGUGAAAGUUGGGAGCCCCCUUCAAAGGGGGGUGCACCGACGCCCGGCCCUGAAGUCUUCUGACGGUGCUGCGGUAGAGCAGGUAUGUUGGGACCCGAAAGAUGGUGAACUAUGCCUGAAUAGGGUGAAGCCAGAGGAAACUCUGGUGGAGGCUCGUAGCGAUUCUGACGUGCAAAUCGAUCGUCGAAUUUGGG
rnacentral:rRNA from 1 species